rnacentral:rRNA from 1 species
CACUUUUGGGAGACAUCUCCUGGAAGUCAAAGCUUUAUGUGCUGAAAGAUGGCCUCGCGUCUGAUUAGCUAGUUGGUGAGGUAACGGCUCACCAAGGCGACGAUCAGUAGCCGGUCUGAGAGGAUGAACGGCCACAUUGGGACUGAGAUACGGCCCAGACUCCUACGGGAGGCAGCAGUGGGGAAUAUUGGGCAAUGGGGGAAACCCUGACCCAGCAACGCCGCGUGAAGGAAGAAGGCCUUCGGGUUGUAAACUUCUUUUACCAGGGACGAAGGACGUGACGGUACCUGGAGAAAAAGCAACGGCUAACUACGUGCCAGCAGCCGCGGUAAUACGUAGGUUGCAAGCGUUGUCCGGAUUUACUGGGUGUAAAGGGCGUGUAGGCGGAGAUGCAAGUUGGGAGUGAAAUCCAUGGGCUCAACCCAUGAACUGCUCUCAAAACUGUAUCCCUUGAGUAUCGGAGAGGCAAGCGGAAUUCCUAGUGUAGCGGUGAAAUGCGUAGAUAUUAGGAGGAACACCAGUGGCGAAGGCGGCUUGCUGGACGACAACUGACGCUGAGGCGCGAAAGCGUGGGGAGCAAACAGGAUUAGAUACCCUGGUAGUCCACGCUGUAAACGAUGAAUACUAGGUGUGGGAGGACUGACCCCUUCCGUGCCGCAGUUAACACAAUAAGUAUUCCACCUGGGGAGUA